rnacentral:lncRNA from 1 species
GAGGGUGCCGUGGGUUGUCCUUGUUAGAACUGCUUGAUGAUCCGCUGUUCGGCAUUGCAGACUGGUUAUACUAGCCCAUCUUGUGCUGGAGGCCAACGAGAUUGAUAAAUUGGAAUUAUCGGCUGAGGACUUGACCUGGUUUUACAAUCAACAGUCAAUUGAAGUCCUCUUUGUUAGGACAUCGCCCCAAAUGCUCAUAGUUGUCAUGAAGACGAUAGGUUACAUUUCUUGAAUAAUGUAAACCAGGAAAUCUCAUGCUGUGUUUCCAGAAAUACAUCCAGCCAUUACAAUCAGUUCGGAGCUUCUAAUGUCCAGAAACAGUCAGAAUCUUGGGUGGCUUCGUUACACACUAUCAUCAGUUGUUGCUACUAGUCACACAAUGUUUGAUAAUAGUUCACGAAAAGAGCUGUCAAGCCAGAUAAUCUUACAGCUAGGCAAACAAUUCAAACAACCUUAAUGUACCAUUCUAAAACUACCUUUCCUCCC